GAUGAAUGCUCGCUACAGGCUUAACACAUGCAAGUCGAGGGGCAGCAUGGUCUUAGCUUGCUAAGGCCGAUGGCGACCGGCGCACGGGUGAGUAACACGUAUCCAACCUGCCGUCUACUCUUGGACAGCCUUCUGAAAGGAAGAUUAAUACAAGAUGGCAUCAUGAGUCCGCAUGUUCACAUGAUUAAAGGUAUUCCGGUAGACGAUGGGGAUGCGUUCCAUUAGAUAGUAGGCGGGGUAACGGCCCACCUAGUCUUCGAUGGAUAGGGGUUCUGAGAGGAAGGUCCCCCACAUUGGAACUGAGACACGGUCCAAACUCCUACGGGAGGCAGCAGUGAGGAAUAUUGGUCAAUGGGCGCAGGCCUGAACCAGCCAAGUAGCGUGAAGGAUGACUGCCCUAUGGGUUGUAAACUUCUUUUAUAAAGGAAUAAAGUCGGGUAUGUAUACCCGUUUGCAUGUACUUUAUGAAUAAGGAUCGGCUAACUCCGUG
rnacentral:rRNA from 1 species